rnacentral:rRNA from 1 species
AGCGAAGCGACGUCAAAGCGUUCAUUAAAGUCGAGUUGGCUUAGGGAUACGUUCGUUGGGUAGGGGAGCGUUCUGUAAGCCGUUGAAGGUGGCCUGUGAGGGUUGCUGGAGGUAUCAGAAGUGCGAAUGCUGACAUAAGUAACGAUAAAGCGGGUGAAAAGCCCGCUCGCCGGAAGACCAAGGGUUCCUGUCCAACGUUAAUCGGGGCAGGGUGAGUCGACCCCUAAGGCGAGGCCGAAAGGCGUAGUCGAUGGGAAACGGGUUAAUAUUCCCGUACUUGGUGUUACUGCGAAGGGGGGACGGAGAAGGCUAUGUUGGCCGGGCGACGGUUGUCCCGGUUUAAGCGUGUAGGUGUGUGUUCCAGGUAAAUCCGGUUCACUUUAACACUGAGGCGUGACGACGAGGCACUACGGUGCUGAAGCAACAAAUGCCCUGCUUCCAGGAAAAGCCUCUAAGCAUCAGGUAACAUCAAAUCGUACCCCAAACCGACACAGGUGGUCAGGUAGAGAAUACCAAGGCGCUUGAGAGAACUCGGGUGAAGGAACUAGGCAAAAUGGUGCCGUAACUUCGGGAGAAGGCACGCUGACACGUAGGUGAAGUGAUUUACUCAUGGAGCUGAAGUCAGUCGAAGAUACCAGCUGGCUGCAACUGUUUAUUAAAAACACAGCACUGUGCAAACACGAAAGUGGACGUAUACGGUGUGACGCCUGCCCGGUGCCGGAAGGUUAAUUGAUGGGGUCAGCGCAAGCGAAGCUCCUGAUCGAAGCCCCGGUAAACGGCGGCCGUAACUAUAACGGUCCUAAGGUAGCGAAAUUCCUUGUCGGGUAAGUUCCGACCUGCACGAAUGGCGUAAUGAUGGCCAGGCUGUCUCCACCCGAGACUCAGUGAAAUUGAACUCGCUGUGAAGAUGCAGUGUACCCGCGGCAAGACGGAAAGACCCCGUGAACCUUUACUAUAGCUUGACACUGAACAUUGAGCCUUGAUGUGUAG